AACCGGCGGAGUGGCUACGUCACGGUGGCAGGUUCUAAGCGCUGCUGGGCACCGUAAGGCCGCCGUGUGUACCUUCCAGCAGCUACGGGCUGGUGGAAGCGCUGCUCACAGUCAGUGUCCAUUGUAGUUCAUCUCACUGAGGACCUGCUUUCCCGAGCAUCAAUGACAGUAGUAAAUGGAUGUCCGACUCUGACCAUCAAUGUGUCCACUGCACGUGAGCAUUGGCUGGAGGGAAUGCUGAGGCAUGAAAUAGGUACACAUUAUUUUCGAGGUAUUAACAACCUCCAGCAGCCAUGGAACAGUUGGACUGGACGUAAAAAACAUGAGCUAAAGCCAAAUAAUCCCACAGAGGAAGGACUAGCAAGUAUUCACAGUGUUCUGUUUAGAAAAGACCCUUUUUUAUGGAGGGCUGCCCUCCUCUACUACACUGUUUAUCAAGCCAGCCAAAUGUCUUUUUGUGAACUCUUCAAAGAUAUUGGCAGGUUUGUCAAGGACCCCAAUACAAGAUGGGAUUAUUGUGUACGGGCCAAGAGGGGAUGGACUGAUACUUCCCAACCAGG
rnacentral:sRNA from 1 species